UAAAGUAAAUAAGCACCAAAA
rnacentral:miRNA from 1 species